rnacentral:misc_RNA from 1 species
GCUCCAGACCCUCGAGCACCAUUUACGAUAGAGUUGUGGUUGAGAGAAUCACUGAUAAUCAAACCUCCCUUUCCGAUCAAGACAGGAAGUAUGGCUGAAUUUGUUACGUAACCCAUGCCUGUGACAAUAGCAGCUGGCUUGCCAACAAAAUUAGCCACACAUUCUUCCAAUUCCAUAUGGAUGCUUGUGGUACCUCCAUCAACACGGGCACUGCAAGUGCUCGCAGAAUACUUUUUCAAAGACUCAAUGACACGAGGUGUACAAUAUUCAUCCGAUGCAGCAAAACCAAGGUAAUUAUAUGAACCCAAGUUUAGGCACCUUGAAACUUGAGUGGUUCGCUUUAGUGUCUUGUUAUUAUCAUUAGAAACACGCUCCACCACAUCAAACCAAGCAUCA